rnacentral:rRNA from 1 species
UACAGAGGUCCCGAGCGUUGUUCGGAUUCACUGGGCGUAAAGGGUGCGUAGGUGGUGAGGUAAGUCGGAUGUGAAAUCUCCGGGCUCAACCCGGAAAUGGCAUUGGAAACUACCUUGCUGGAGGAUUUGAGGGGGGAUUGGAAUACUUGGUGUAGCAGUGAAAUGCGUAGAUAUCAAGUGGAACACCAGUGGCGAAGGCGAAUCCCUGGGACGGUACUGACGCUGAGACGCGAAAGCGUGGGGAGCGAACAGG